GUGGGGAAUAUUGGACAAUGGGGGGAACCCUGAUCCAGCAAUGCCGCGUGUGUGAAGAAGGCCUGAGGGUUGUAAAGCACUUUCAGUGGGGAGGAGGCUUGUUAGGUUAAGAGCUAAAUAAGUGGACGUUACCCACAGAAGAAGCACCGGCUAACUCCGUGCCAGCAGCCGCGGUAAUACGGAGGGUGCAAGCGUUAAUCGGAAUUACUGGGCGUAAAGAGUGCGUAGGUGGUUUGGUAAGUUAUCUGUGAAAUCCCUGGGCUCAACCUGGGCAGGUCAGAUAAUACUGCUGAACUCGAGUAUGGGAGAGGGUAGUGGAAUUUCCGGUGUAGCGGUGAAAUGCGUAGAGAUCGGAAGGAACACCAGUGGCGAAGGCGGCUACCUGGCCUAAUACUGACACUGAGGCACGAAAGCGUGGGGAGCAAACAGGAUUAGAAACCCUAGUAGUCC
rnacentral:rRNA from 1 species